rnacentral:rRNA from 1 species
GCGAACGUUAGCGGCAGGCUUAACACAUGCAAGUCGAGCGAGAAAGGGGCUUCGGCUCCGAGUAAAGCGGCGGACGGGUGCGUAACACGUGGAUAAUCUGCCUCGUGGCGGGGGACAACAGUCCGAAAGGACUGCUAAUACCGCAUGUCAGGUCGGAAACUCCGGUUUCUGACGAAAAAGAGGGCGUCCGCAAGGAGCUCUCACCACGAGAUGAGUCCGCGUCCCAUCAGCUAGUUGGCGGUGUAAUGGACCACCAAGGCUUAGACGGGUAGCUGGUCUGAGAGGAUGACCAGCCACACUGGGACUGAGACACGGCCCCAGACUCCUACGGGAGGCAGCAGUGGGGAAUAUUGGACAAUGGGCGAAAGCCUGAUCCAGCCAUGCCGCGUGAGUGAUGAAGGCCUCGGGUCGUAAAGCUCUGUGGGGAGGGGACGGAAAAAGGACGU